rnacentral:rRNA from 1 species
AGAGUUUGAUCAUGGCUCAGGACGAACGCUGGCGGCGUGCUUAACACAUGCAAGUGGAGCGACGAACCAGGCUUCGGCCUGGGGCAAAGCCGCGAACGGGUGAGUAUCACGUGGGUAACGUACCCCGAUGACCGGGACAACCCGAGGAAACUCGGGCUAAUACCGGAUGUGCUGUACGGCCUCAAGGCCGUCCAGUAAAGGAAGCUUCGGCCUCCGCAUUGGGAGCGGCCCGCGGCCCAUUAGCUUGUUGGUGAGGUAAAGGCUCACCAAGGCAACGAUGGGUAGCUGGUCUGAGAGGACGAUCAGCCACACUGGGACUGAGACACGGCCCAGACUCCUACGGGAGGCAGCAGUGGGGAAUCUUGCGCAAUGCGCGAAAGCGUGACGCAGCAACGCCGCGUGAGGGAAGACGGCCUUCGGGUUGUAAACCUCUUUCAGGAGGGACGAAGGUUCAGGCGCGAAUAGCGUCCUGGACUGACGGUACCUCCAGAAGAAGCUCCGGCUAACUACGUGCCAGCAGCCGCGGUAAUACGUAGGGAGCAAGCGUUGUCCGGAAUCAUUGGGCGUAAAGAGCGCGUAGGCGGCCCGGUAAGUCCGUUCUGAAAGUCAAAGGCUCAACCUUUGAAAGCGGAUGGAUACUGCCGGGCUAGAGUCCGGAAGAGGCGAGUGGAAUUCCUGGUGUAGCGGUGGAAUGCGCAGAUAUCAGGAGGAACACCAACGGCGAAGGCAGCUCGCUGGGACGGUACUGACGCUGAGGCGCGAAAGCGUGGGGAGCGAACAGGAUUAGAUACCCUAGUAGUCC